UCCACUGGGCGCGGCUAGUGGCUCAGCGAACUGCGAAGGGAGUGUCUCUAAUUGUCGCCUGCGUGAACUCGGGUACCCUGAGGGUGUUCGAAAAGAACCCCCACUCUGGACCCCAAAGUCUGCCCAGCCAAGGUAGCAGUGAUCUCUGCCGAGAAGACUUUGUCUUACUUAUACGACUUUCUCUUCUUUUCCCUCUGCUCUUGGGUGCCUCCCUGCCUCUGCGCGUUCAGAAAGCCAGAUUUCGGGGAUGCUCUACCGUAGAGCAGAACAUUUCGGCCCGGAUCUGAGUCCUUCUUUUCGGAGUGGAUUGAUGGGAGGGACUGAAAAAAUCGGUGUGGUAGUGAGACGCAUUGCAAUUGCUGAAAUCGUGAACUAUAAUGCUUUGGGGGAGAUAACUUCCUGCAAACCUAGAACUUUCGGAUUACUUCUGAGCUUGAAGAACCCUGUUUUCUACAAAUGACUACGUGGUCUUCUCUGGAAUGCCAGCUUCUUCAGUCUAAGGAAAAGAUGCUGAAGAUAUUCAGGGGGAAAAAGGUCACUUCAUAUGAGUUCAAGAAAAAAAAAAAAAACAUCUCCUAAACCUAUGCCUACUUCAAGAGAUUAAAAAGGCCCUAUGGAUUUCAUUCAUUUCCACAGACUGGACCAAAAACAACCAGAGCAAAGACUCAGCCAACAUAACACCAGCCAUAAUUGUUGGGUUGCAUUGGCUUUGUUUCAUGUGUGACUGACUUAGCUAGUACUUCCUCAUUCGUUGCACUUCAGCAGCAAUGUCAAAAGAUGAAGAAAUCACACAUUUUUUUCUUUAAAGAUUGUCCCACGAGCAAUUGGUACAAAAGUGAAGCUGGUCCUUGUGGUCAUUCACAAGAUCUUCAAUGAGUCUGAAUACUUCCACGCUGCAAAUUGGAAGUAAGGAUGCACAUGGAGGUACCAGGAGAGACUGCCAAACCUGGGAGAAGCAGGCUGCCUCUGUUCUCUCCUGUCAGAGUUCUUUGGUUGUAAGCAUUGGAAAGUUAUUAUUUCAGCUACUUAAACAAAGGAGAAUUUGUUGAAAAGAUAUCAGAGGCUUUUCAGUUGGCUGGAGAACCUUGCUAAUAAACUAGGAAACACCAAGAAAAUUCCACAAAGCAGGAGUCUCCGCUAUGGUCUGAAGAAGAAAAUUCACAUGCUCUUGUUGGGACGGUUCUUGGUUCUUCCUCAGUAGCUCAGAGUUCUAUACCAUGGACACUGGUGUGAGGCUCUGCAGGGAAUCUAAGUGAUAAGGCACAGGGCCAGCAGGUGGCACAGUGGUUGAGGGUGCUGGACUACCACAUGGCCAACUACAGUUUUGAGUCCCAAACCUGGUGGCUUGCUUUCUCACCUUCCUUCUCUUUGUCUCACUCUCUCCCUGUCUGGUCAAAUUAAAAUAAGUGAAUAAAUAAAGUUAAAAAUUUAAAAAUAAAAGACAGAUAAGACACAACCACUGCCCUACUGGAUGGUACAAUCAGGGAAGGAGAGAAAAAGAUAUACAAAUGAUGAAAUAUAAAUCCAAGUGUUAAUCAUGGUAUGAGGGAGCCAGGAGGUGGUGUGGUGGUUAAGGUGCUGUACUUCUAUAUGGCCAGCCACGGUUCAAGGCCCAGGUCUGGCAGCUUGAAAAAUCAUGAUGAUGCGUAUGCGUGUGU